CCUACGGGGGGCAGCAGUGGGGAAUAUUGGACAAUGGGGGGAACCCUGAUCCAGCCAUGCCGCGUGUUUGAAGAAGGCCCUCGGGUUGUAAAGCACUUUCAGUGAGGAAGAACGCCUGGUGGUUAAUACCCAUCAGGAAAGACAUCACUCACAGAAGAAGCACCGGCUAACUCCGUGCCAGCAGCCGCGGUAAUACGGAGGGUGCGAGCGUUAAUCGGAAUUACUGGGCGUAAAGCGCGCGUAGGUGGCUUGAUAAGCCGGUUGUGAAAGCCCCGGGCUCAACCUGGGAACGGCAUCCGGAACUGUCAAGCUAGAGUGCAGGAGAGGAAGGUAGAAUUCCUGGUGUAGCGGUGAAAUGCGUAGAGAUCGGGAGGAAUACCAGUGGCGAAGGCGGCCUUCUGGACUGACACUGACACUGAGGUGCGAAAGCGUGGGUAGCAAACAGGAUUAGAUACCCUAGUAGUC
rnacentral:rRNA from 1 species